UAUACAGAUUAUUGUAUUCGACUGUAUUCACGGCGUGAAACAGGGGAUUACACUGUUUUUAAACGGGAAGUGAAUCAAUUAACAUAAUAGACUCCU
rnacentral:pre_miRNA from 1 species